rnacentral:misc_RNA from 1 species
UCUCCGUUGGUGAACCAGCGGAGGGAUCAUUACCGAAGUUACCUUCAAAACCCACUUUGAACCUUACCUCUUGCCGCGUUGUCUCGGCGGGAGGCGGUGUGCGUCGCGCGCCCUACCGGGCCGCGCCGCUCCCGUCCCCGCCUGCAGCGCCAAACUCUAAAUGCACAGCGGACUGUACGUUCUGAUUUACAAAAAAAACAAGUUAAAACUUUCAACAACGGAUCUCUUGGUUCUG